CUUCACGGAGCCCAGCCACAGCGGCCGGUCCCCGGGGCGUUCGGCCCCGUAGGUCGCGAGCAGCGCCUGCGCCUC
rnacentral:antisense_RNA from 1 species